rnacentral:lncRNA from 1 species
GAAUAGAUGAGAAUGAUUUUCUUGUGCUCUAUUUCUGAUAAAAACCUAUUACAGCAGGUUGGGUGAGUUUUCUCCUUUCUCAGGGGUAAGACUGUACAAACACAAAGCAGAUUUUUUUCCCCAGAACCCUUCUGUAGAGCCCUUAGGCAUCAAUCUUCCUGAGGUCUAGGCACCAGCUGCUUUGUAGUCCUUUCCUUGUAAAGGUGUGCAGUUGUGUUGUAUGGGUGAAAAAAUAAAAACAAAAAAACAACCCACCCACCCAACCAAGAAACCAUCCCACAAAAACAAACACUGAGUCCACAGGCAGUUUUGAAUUUGUUCCAAAGCCUAUAUCCCUCCUAAAUUUGUUGUGCUGCUUUGGGACUAAGUCACAAAAUGUGCUUCAUCCUUUCUGCAGCCAGCGGUUUAGGGAAUUAUCCCACACCCACCAGUCCAGACUUGGUUUUCUGAACCCCUGGCAAGCGAAGGGACCCAGCAGAUAAUGGGACAGCUACGUAGGCAAUGCCUUUUAGAGGCGAAACAGGUUCAGAAGGCAUCUGAGCAACAUCUCCACUUUCCCAGCAAGCCUCUUGAGCCUACCUCUAUGCUCAGAGGUCCUUCACCAGGCAGUAACAAUGGCAUUGCUGGUAGUGCAGGGGGUGAGGAACGAGCCCCUCAUGCUGUUGGGUUAUGCUCACUCAGCAGGCACUGGGUGCAGUCUGUUCUGCUGGCAUGGGAUGAGGACACCGGUCUGCCAAAGCACCUGAGCUCCACCCACAGAACUGACACCUGAAUCCUGUUAUUCCCCACAAACACACAGCUUUGGAGAAAGGUGGGUGGAGAGGGCAAGAAAAGCAUGUUCACAAAGUUGUGUAAGCUCAUUCUGUGCACAGCUUGAUAGUUGCAAUAUCAAUUAUGCUCCUUAGCUUCCAAGAAACAGCUGACCACAAGGAUGAAACUCGUGUGGGAGGAAGAGGGAGCAUGCUUGGCAGCUGGCCUCCAACGCAGGAAUCGCUGCCACAGGAGGACAGAGGAUAUUUUGUGGCAGCUCAUCUUAUCAUGCAUUUUUGUGCAGACCCUUCCAGUUUCUCAGUGAUGUUCUGUCUGCUUGAAUGGCUGUCCAUGUGUGCUUGGUCCAUGUCUCAGGUAAGGACUGCAACCAGCGUGCACCUGCUUUCCAGUGCUGCCUCCUGGGCUUCCCUGUUUGCAGGGAUCAAGGAUGCAGCGAAUCUGAGCAUGGCCAGCAAGAUGACUUCUCCAGCAGGAACCACAGACCUGAUCAUCAUUUUUCACUGCACACCCAUUGCUGUCAUACUGAAAAUAAGAUAAAAUUACUUAAAAUAAGAGAGCUGUCUGGUCUCACAUGUUCAUGGAGAAGGGAUCUUCAGAUAAAUGAACUAUUAAGACUGAACUUUGGCUGAAGAAAAACACUAGAGGCUGCCCAGCAGACCUUGAUGUAUUACAGGCCAUCUUAUUCCUGGCUUGGAGCUUGUCAGCCACCCUAUGGAGAGAUGCACAUAGCAAACAAGCUACCUGCAGUGGCCAUAAUCCUUCUGCAAAGAGCAACAUGGACCAUGUUGUGGGAGCAGAACAAAGGACAAAGUCAUCCUGCCGUGAAUUAUAUAUGGGAGGUAGAAGAAAAUGUCACCAAGUGGUUGCAAGCCAUGGGGGCUGCAUGUUCAUUUGAGUGUUUCAUUCUGCAAUGUUUAUUUGUAGUCUUGAUGCUUCUGAAGGCUGUGGAGCUGUUGAGGAAGGGGGAGAAGAAAGGAGGAAGGAAAUAGGGGAGUCAGGACAAUGAGGGAGGAGGGGAAGGGGAAGUUCAAGUGGACAAAUACUGAUGUCCAUAUCUGAGCCUGAUUCUCUUUCUAGGCAAAAAAAACAUAUGUGACCAGUUUCAGAGGUCUCCCCGAUUGUAAAAAUAGCUUUCUGGCAGUGCCUUUACUUCUCCCAUGACUGCAACCUAUGGGACUGUCUGUGAUGAAGAGAUCUGCAUGGUUACAGGAAAAGAACCCAGCCACAUCCACCCUAUUACCUUUCUGGUAGAAAAAAAACCAUGGUGGUUUUGCAUCUUUCAGGACAGCUGUGAGAUACAUGGCAGAAGGCAUAUGGGGAUCUUUGGGUUGUUCCUGGGUUGAAAUUGAACAAUUAGGCAAAAACAGAGUCCUGAUGCCUCAGAGCUGAGCUGAGCUUGGUUACCCAAAACAUCUUAAUGUGCAAGAGAACAGUGCUAUAUAUUGAAAUCUUCUGUGAGUGCUAUCUUCAUCUGCUCUCAGCAUUAGAGGGUUGUUAUUUAAUUUGCCUGUGAGUGAAACAGUCUAAUUUCCAUUAUGAUGAGCAUUUACAUGAACAUAAGAAACUUUUGAAAACUGGAGACUGCAGACCCCAAAGACUAAUUCCUGUGGUCCCGAGGCUAGAUGCUGUUUGUAACUGCAAAUCCAGAGAAUUCAUGAGGAUAGAUACUCUGACCUACUGAAUUUAUGGAGCCACCUUCUCUGCCUCCUGCUCCCUCCCUCUUGGCACAAGUGGGAGGAAGGGGUAUGCUGAGAGCGGGAUAAUCAGUGUGUGAGCUCAUAAGAGCUGUGCUCCACGCUGCCUGACACUUCACUUGCACAAGCUCCAGUAGGAUAAGGCUAAUUGUGGAAAAUAGAGGACUUCAGUACUCUUGACUUCUGCUGUGACUACGUGGUUCACAAGCAGAGGACAGUACAUACACAAGGGAACACUGAGGUUCACUGGAGAACAUGGUUUGCUGGAGUUGGUGGCGUCUCCUUGGAUUACUGCAGAAGUCUUUCUUCAUCCUCUUGUCAUUUUGUCUUCAGAUAUGCCACCCAACUGCUACCUCCUGUUGGCUCCAUAGAGCAUUUGAAGACUUCUCUUGAAAUCUUCUAUCUGCCUUCUGACAUGUUUCUGAGCAGCAUGCACAGAAAAGGAUCUGUGCCUUCCAGGACGUGAGACCUCAAAACAAGUUCCUGUUCCUGAGCGCAUUUUGAUACAGAUUCCAUUCUUUUGGAAGGCAGUGAAAUGAUUAAAAAAGGAGAAGGAAAUUGAUUCUGAAUUUUUCAUUAUAAGCAAAAAGUCUGUUAAUAUUUGUAUGAUGCUUGUUAAUAUUUAUAUGGUUUAAACUGCUGUGGCAGCUCAGCUUGUGAUGCAUUUUUGGAUUGUUUAGACAUGCUUUUACAGUUCAAGCCCCAGUUUCAUUUGGGAUGGUUUUGGAACCACGAGUGCCUGGGAGCCCUGUGGUGGCAAGAUGGCAAGCUCCCAUGGAGGAAGACUGCUGGUGCACAGGGACCAGCCGAGACCACGCUGCCCUUCAGGUAUAUGUCAUAAGUCAUGGCUUACAGUCUGUGUGCGGAAAGGCUCCAACUGCUUCUUGCUGCAGCUCUGGGUGAGUAAACUGCAUGGGCUGGGGAAGGAAGGGGUUGAAAAACUCUGUCUUUGCUCCUGUUGAAUUCAGUUGUCAGACUUAGAGCCUUACUGAUCCUUAUGGCCUGAUCCCUGCUUCAGAUUCUCUGCCUACUCUGGAGGCUUCUGUGGGAAGUGCUGUGUAAAUGAUGAGUGCUGUUAGAGCACUUUUCCCACCUCUGCUGAAGCCCACAUGUGAGUUUGCUUCUGAUUUCAGUGCAGUCAGGCUUACACAAGUAUGCUUUUGUGCCUACAAAUGAGAGGAGUUGAAAAGAUAUUUACUCUCUUGGGCCAAUCCAUUGCACACUCUGGCAAGAAUAAUGGCAGAGCAUCACACGAUGAGAAUUACACAACAAUUUUCCAAUGGAAAAGUAAAACUGCAGUUAAACUUUGCCAUCACUAGCUGUAGCAUCCCAAAUGUAGCAGCAGAGCAGCGGGGCAGCGGUAUGGAUAAGUGAGAGACACAGAAUGAUUCGUAAGUUAGGAAAAAAUGCUGUGGAGUAAUAAAAAGUUUGCAAGCUUUGAAAAGUACCUGCA